rnacentral:tRNA from 1 species
CGGGCUGCACUGCUAAGUUGUUGAUAUAUAUAAAGCUUCCAUGCUUCGGGAGCAGGGGGUCGGAGGUUCGAAUCCUCUCACGCCGACCA